GGGGAAUUUUCCGCAAUGGGCGAAAGCCUGACGGAGCAAUACCGCGUGGGGGAGGAAGGUUUUUGGAUUGUAAACCCCUUUUCUCAGGGAAGAUGAUGACGGUACCUGAGGAAUCAGCCUCGGCUAACUCCGUGCCAGCAGCCGCGGUAAGACGGAGGAGGCAAGCGUUAUCCGGAAUUAUUGGGCGUAAAGGGUCCGCAGGUGGUGAAUCAAGUCUGUUUUCAAAGAGCGGAGCUUAACUUCGUAGAGGGGAUGGAAACUGAUUUACUGGAGUAUGGUAGGGGUAGAGGGAAUUCCCGGGGUA
rnacentral:rRNA from 1 species